rnacentral:lncRNA from 1 species
AAAACAUAUUAACUAUAACUUCAAUAAAUAAAGGAUAUCUCCCUAGCUCACCUAUCACUGCCAUAUUUGUGCUUCUCUUUCCUACUCCCAGUGAAAAUUUACAGAUUUUUAAAUGAACUGAUUCAGUUUGCAGUUCUUUACAUAAUUUUUCAAAAUAACAAUCUCCUUUUUCAGUUAACUUUUUUGAAUCUAAAGCACCCCAAAUUUCACUUCCAUAAGUUAAAAUUGGUUUUACUGUGUGGUCAAAUAUAUGAAGUAAAGUUUUAAUUUUGGGUUUAUGACCUUUAAAUAUUUUAUAAAUUUUAAAAAGAGCUUUUAGUCCUCUUUUAUAUAGAUCAUGUUUAGCAUCUGUAAAGCUUCCAGAGGCACUGAAGUUUAUCCCUAAGUAUGUAUACUGUCUAGCUUUGUCAAUAGGACAAUUAUUUAAUUUAAAAGAUGCAUGAUUUAUUUUUCCUGUACAAUUGAAAACCAAACUUUUUGUUUUCUUAAGGUUAAUUUCUAAUCCCCAUUUAUUACAGUACAGGCACAACUUAUCUAAACUAUUUUGUAAGCCUUCUGCAGUUUCAGAUAGCAAAACUACAUCAUCAGCAUAUAAUAAGCAGUUCAACUGAAUUGAGUCAAGUUGAACUGGGUCACAGGUUUUAUCAAAUAUUUCAGGGAGGUCAUUAAUGAAUAAUUUAAAAAGGUUAGGGCUGAGAUUAUCCCCUUGGCGAACCCCUAUAUUAGAUGAGAAGGAGUCUGUCAUGUGAGAUUUGCUAAUUCUCACAUUCAACUCAGUCUUUUUAUACAUGCUUUUAAUAACAUUAUAAUAUAAAUCACUGAUGCCAUAUUGUCUUAGUUUAUAGAAGAGACCCAUAUGCCAAACUGUAUCAAAUGCCUUUUUGAAAUCGACAAAACAAGAA